rnacentral:tRNA from 1 species
GGUAGCGUGGCCGAGUGGUCUAAGGCGCUGGUUUUAGGCACCAGUCUCACAGAGGCGUGGGUUCGAAUCCCACCGCUGCCA